rnacentral:rRNA from 1 species
AUUGAACGCUGGCGGCAUGCCUUACACAUGCAAGUCGAACGGCAGCACGGGAGCAAUCCUGGUGGCGAGUGGCGAACGGGUGAGUAAAGUAUCGGAACGUGCCCAGUCGUGGGGGAUAACGUAGCGAAAGUUACGCUAAUACCGCAUACGAUCUAUGGAUGAAAGCGGGGGAUCGCAAGACCUCGCGCGAUUGGAGCGGCCGAUAUCCGAUUAGGUAGUUGGUGGGGUAAAGGCUCACCAAGCCGACGAUCUGUAGCUGGUCUGAGAGGACGACCAGCCAAACUGGGGAUGAGACACGGCCCAGACUCCUACGGGAGGCAGCAGUGGGGAAUUUUGGACAAUGGGCGAAAGCCUGAUCCAGCCAUGCCGCGUGCAGGAUGAAGGCCUUCGGGUUGUAAACUGCUUUUGUACGGAACGAAAAGGUUUGGCCUAAUAAGCUGAGCUCAUGACGGUACCGUAAGAAUAAGCACCGGCUAACUACGUGCCAGCCGCCGCAGUAA